rnacentral:ribozyme from 1 species
AAAAAAAUCUCACCCAAAAACAAAAAAGAAUCAAACAAACAGAAAAAAAGAAGAAAAAAUCUAACCAACCCUCCUUCUACAACAGUACCUUCCCGCUUUUGUAUUUUUAAAUGUGGAAUCUACCAUGAUUUCUAUAUUUUUCCCUUCCCUCUUGC